rnacentral:rRNA from 1 species
UACGGAGGGUGCAAGCGUUGUCCGGAUUUAUUGGGUUUAAAGGGUGCGUAGGCGGCUUUUUAAGUCAGUGGUGAAAUUCUGCAGCUCAACUGUAAGGACUGCCAUUGAUACUGGAAAGCUUGAGUACAUACGAGGUAGGCGGAAUUGACGGUGUAGCGGUGAAAUGCAUAGAUAUCGUCAAGAACACCGAUUGCGAAGGCAGCUUACUAGAAUGUAACUGACGCUGAGGCACGAAAGUGCGGGGAUCAAACAGG